rnacentral:lncRNA from 1 species
UGUGCCUGUCCCAAGUUAGGAGCCUGUAGUUCAGUGGUUUCGUUGGUAUAUGUUUUACAUUUUGUUUAUCGUUCAUUUUUUUAUAUGAAUAAGGCCGUUAGUUUUUCUCGUUUAAAUUGUUUUACAUGGUCAUCUUGGGGCCUUUUAUAGCUGACUAUGCGAUAUGGGCUUUGUUCAUUGUUGAAGGCCGUGCGGUGACCUAGAGUUGUUAAUUUCUGUGUCAUUUUGGUUUCUUGUGGUGAACUGUCUCAUUGGCAAUCAUACCACAUCUUCUUUUUUU